GGGCCUAUAGCUCAGCGGUUAGAGCAGGGGACUCAUAAUCCCUUGGUCGUAGGUUCAAAUCCUACUGGGCCCACCA
rnacentral:tRNA from 2 species